CCUACGGGAGGCAGCAGUGGGGAAUAUUGCACAAUGGGCGCAAGCCUGAUGCAGCGACGCCGCGUGAGGGAUGGAGGCCUUCGGGUUGUAAACCUCUUUUAUCGGGGAGCAAGCGAGAGUGAGUUUACCCGUUGAAUAAGCACCGGCUAACUACGUGCCAGCAGCCGCGGUAAUACGUAGGGUGCAAGCGUUAUCCGGAAUUAUUGGGCGUAAAGGGCUCGUAGGCGGUUCGUCGCGUCCGGUGUGAAAGUCCAUCGCUUAACGGUGGAUCCGCGCCGGGUACGGGCGGGCUUGAGUGCGGUAGGGGAGACUGGAAUUCCCGGUGUAACGGUGGAAUGUGUAGAUAUCGGGAAGAACACCAAUGGCGAAGGCAGGUCUCUGGGCCGUUACUGACGCUGAGGAGCGAAAGCGUGGGGAGCGAACAGGAUUAGAUACCCUGGUAGUCCACGCCGUAAACGGUGGAUGCUGGAUGUGGGGCCCGUUCCACGGGUUCCGUGUCGGAGCUAACGCGUUAAGCAUCCCGCCUGGGGAGUACGGCCGCAAGGCUAAAACUCAAAGAAAUUGACGGGGGCCCGCACAAGCGGCGGAGCAUGCGGAUUAAUUCGAUGCAACGCGAAGAACCUUACCAAGGCUUGACAUGCACGGCGGCACUGUAGAGAUGUGGUGGCAUUUGGUUGGUCGUGUGCAGGUGGUGCAUGGUUGUCGUCAGCUCGUGUCGUGAGAUGUUGGGUUAAGUCCCGCAACGAGCGCAACCCUCGCCCCGUGUUGCCAGCGGAUUAUGCCGGGAACUCACGGGGGACCGCCGGGGUUAACUCGGAGGAAGGUGGGGAUGACGUCAGAUCAUCAUGCCCCUUACGUCCAGGGCUUCACGCAUGCUACAAUGGCCGGUACAACGGGAUGCGACGCGGCGACGCGGAGCGGAUCCCUGAAAACCGGUCUCAGUUCGGAUCGCAGUCUGCAACUCGACUGCGUGAAGGCGGAGUCGCUAGUAAUCGCGAAUCAGCAACGUCGCGGUGAAUGCGUUCCCGGGCCUUGUACACACCGCCCGUCAAGUCAUGAAAGUGGGCAGCACCCGAAGCCGGUGGCCUAACCCCUUGUGGGAUGGAGCCGUCUAAGGUGAGGCUCGUGAUUGGGACUAAGUCGUAACAAGGUAGCCGUACCGGAAGGUGCGGCUG
rnacentral:rRNA from 1 species